AUGAGCAGGAGAAUUUUAGCACAGUCACCUACACACUCAUUUCGAUGCUCUGACCCCUUAUCCAAGCCAGUCAAAGUGUGGUCUAUGGUUUUGCAUUUUAAAGAGAUCCCUGGGUGAAUCUUGUGCAUGUUACAGGGAAGCACUGUCCUACAUCCUAUGUGACAGGCUCUCAUAGUCACCAUCAUCAUGGGAAUCUUGCACAUGUUACAGGGAAGCACUGUCCUACAUCAUAUGUGACAGGCUCUCAUAGUCACCAUCAUCACGGGAAUCUUGCACAUGUUACAGGGAAGCACCGUCCUACAUCGUAUGUGACAGACUCUCAUAGUCACCAUCAUCAAGGGAAUCUUGUGCAUGUUACAGGGAAGCACUGUCCUACAUCAUAUGUGACAGGCUCUCAUAGUCACCAUCAUCACAGGAAUCUUGUGCAUGUUACAGGGAAGGACUGUCCUACAUCGUAGGUGACAGGCUCUCAUAAUCACCAUCAUCACGGGAAUCUUGUGCAUGUUGCAGGGAAGCACUGUCCUACAUCGUAUGCGACAGGGUCUCAGAGUCACCAUCAUCGUGGGAAUCUUGUGCAUGUUACAGGGAAGCACUGUCCUACAUCAUAUGUGACAGGCUCUCAUAGUCACCAUCAUCACGGGAAGCUGCAUUUAGAGCAUUUAACUGUAUGGGCUCUGAAAUCAGAUGACUUAGGUUUGGGCUUGCCUCUACUUCUUACUAAGCAGAGAACUUUGGGGCAUGAUACUUAAUUUUACUAGGCUCAGUUUUAUCAUGUGUAAAUUGGAGGCAAGGGGAAAUUAUAGCAUUUUGCAUAGAAUAUUGUUUUAAGUAUGAA
rnacentral:lncRNA from 1 species